AUUUAGUUUAUUUAUUUGCUGAGAUAACCGGGGUCACACAGCCAGGAAGCGUCUGAGACCAGAUCACAACUCGGGUCCUCCUGACCUCAGGGCCGGUGCCCUAUCCCCUGCACCACGCGGCUGCCCUCACAAUUAAGCAUUCACACUUUUCCAGGCACUGUCCUAAAAGGUGGAAAUAGAAAGAAUAGGGAGAAAAAAGAGCCCCGGCCUUGUAGGAGCUCACGUUCUCACAGAGAAGAUGCAGAAGGAAGCUGAGAAGUGACGGGAGGGUGAGGUACUUUUGUGGCUUGGCGGGAAAAGAAGCCUGGGCAGUCGGGAGAGAGCGCGGCCGCCCCGAGCCCUUCCUUAAAACACAAGUUCCCGGUUAUGUAGCCCCCUAAGGGUUUGUGAAGUGUUUCGCACACUUAACGGUCACAGCCCCGGGCGACGAGUCAGGCCCGUGAGGAUUCUGGGAGAGCGUGGGCGGGUGACCGGCCCACGCCACAGAAGCGGCAGAAUCCCGGACGCAGGCUCACUGCUUUGCCCGUUAGGCCGCACUCCUGCUCUGGACUAAUUAAAGGGGCGCAAUCUCGGGAACAGAUCGCAGAAGAACAAAAACCCACAAAGCGUGUUAACAUAUUCGUUACUUUGUGUAUCACUAAAGCAUAGAGCACGCCAAUAACCGAUGAUGGUGGUUAAUUCCCUGCCAACAAGCCGCGCGCUUGCUUUUUCAUAGUUAUAAAACUUGCGGAGGACGGACUGCGCUUGUAUGCCGGCGUCCUGGGCAAAAUGUAAAUAUCUAUGAAGAAGAAACAGGCGCUCGCGCCUUCAGAAUCCCACAAGCGCGCCACGCAGAGAGUGUAAAGCCUCAUUUUUUCUCUUCUGACUAUAAAAACUGUCUGACUCAGACUUCCCCCGCCGGGGCUCGGGCGCAGAAAAGCCGAGAUCGCUGGGGACCCUCGUAGGACAGGGCCAUAAGUGACUGUGCGGUGGCGCUCUGAUCGCCCCCUGCCAACGAGGGAGAAAACGCAGGCCCCCUCGGGCCUCAGCCGCUCCGCGGGGGCCGAGCCUCGCACACCCGCGGACACAAGGGCGCGCCCCGGAGGGCCCGGCGCCCGGCGCAGCUCGCGGAGUUGCCCCGGGGAGGGCGGGGGCGCGCGCGUGCGUGCGCGGGCGGGAGGAAGCGCCGUCGGUGCCCGGAGACCGCCUGCCGGGGCCGUGACCGCCGGGCUCCCGGCCUGGGGAAGGGCGCCGCGCCGGCCCCAAACUCCCCGCCCAGGAAACGCGGCCCUCGCCAAGGGCUGCCGGUCUCGGGCGGCCUCGGGCAGAGCGCGGCGCCGCCUCCGUCCCUGUGCCCCGUCCCUGUGCCGGAGCGGCCGCGCGGGGCGCAGGCCGGGGGCCCCCCGCGGUCCCAGCCCCCACAACCGGCUCAGGAAGGGACCCGCGGGCAUCAACCCCGCGCUGAACAACGGGGGCCGGCCCUGCCUGACUUAGGGGGCAGCGGGAGGGACCGCGAUGCCCAGCGAGAGCCGAGCCGAAGCCGCCCGGCCGCGCUCCUGGAGGUGGCCGGGUCAGGGACAAGCUCCCCCAAGCGGCCAUCCCCGGUGUCCGGUGCCCCCCGAACCCGCGGCCGCCCGGCCAGGAGGGGGCGCUAGGCAGAGACCCGGGCCGCGCGGCCGCUCCCCCUCCCUCGGCUGUAACUGUGUUCUUCACUCAACAUCCCGGGAACGACGGGGGAGAUGGGAGCAGCAGGGGACAGUCCCGUCUCCCCCUGCGAGGCUGCCCUCCCGGCCCCGCCCGGCGCCUCCCCUUCUAACCAUCAGCGCCUCUGCGGGGCCGGAAAGGCCCCUAAAGUCUCGGUCCAAGGAGUCAGCAGUGCUUUGUUCCAGGAGCGCCCACCCUUGCUCCUCAAAGGGGAGGCGCAAAUAAAGAGGCAGCAAGGGAGGGAAGUCAGGCUCGGAGACACUUUUUUAUUCUUGUUGUUACAGCCUUUUAUUUACAGGUAUAUGCACGGGUAACUUUACAGCACUGACAGUUGUCAAGCCUCUUGUUCCAGUUUCCCCUCCUUCCCCCCCCCCCCCCCCCCCCCCCCCGAUGGCAGGAGGACCGAUAAUGUUAAAUAUGUUAAAGUAUAAGUUAGAUACAGUGUAUGUGUGCAUAUGUAUAGUUAUUUCGCUGCACGAGAAAAAUCGGAUCUAAAAAGAAAGAAAAAAACCUGAGGGGGAAACAAAAAUGCAGGCAAACAACAGA
ensembl:lncRNA